GGGUUUUACCUCGUCUCCGAUCUCAUUUCCACGUCCGCCAUGGCCCGAUUCUCUAGAGGAUCCGCCACAUCGCGCCUCCUCUUCUCCCUCUAUUCUUCCACCGCGAAAACGACAGCGACAGCUCCAGCUCCGCCGUCUCAUUCCCCGACCGCUGCCCUGCUCCUCGGCAACUUCCGCCUCCGCCAAUUCUCCAACGUCGCUCGCGCCAAGGAAGAGGAGCCAUGGUGGAAGGAGUCCAUGGAACGCCUGCGGAACAUCGGAAUCUCUGCUCACAUCGACUCCGGAAAGACCACUCUCACUGAGCGCAUCCUCUACUACACCGGCCGUAUCCAUGAGAUCCACGAGGUCCGCGGCCGCGAUGGAGUCGGCGCUAAGAUGGAUUCUAUGGACUUAGAAAGAGAAAAGGGCAUCACCAUCCAGUCCGCCGCCACAUAUUGUACUUGGAAUGGCUAUCAGAUAAAUAUAAUUGAUACACCGGGGCACGUAGAUUUUACCAUAGAGGUGGAGAGGGCUUUGCGAGUGCUGGAUGGUGCAAUUCUUGUGCUUUGUAGUGUGGGUGGAGUGCAGAGUCAGUCUAUAACGGUGGAUAGGCAAAUGAGGAGAUAUCAGGUCCCUAGACUUGCCUUUAUUAACAAACUUGAUCGAAUGGGAGCUGAUCCGUGGAAGGUUCUCAACCAGGCAAGGUCUAAACUGAGGCAUCACAGUGCAGCUAUUCAAGUUCCAAUUGGCUUGGAGGAUGAUUUUCAAGGCCUUAUUGAUCUUGUGAAGUUGAAAGCUUAUUAUUUCCAUGGCUCCAAUGGUGAAAAAGUUGUUACUGAGGAAGUGCCUGCUCAUAUGGAGGCCAUAGUUGCUGAAAAACGACGUGAACUUAUAGAAGUUGUUUCUGAAGUUGACGAUAAACUUGCUGAUGCUUUUCUUGCAGAUGAGCCUAUUUCAUCAUCAGAUCUUGAGGAGGCAAUUCGCAGGGCUACUGUAGCAAGGAAAUUUAUUCCAGUAUUCAUGGGAAGUGCAUUCAAGAACAAGGGAGUGCAACCACUUCUGGAUGGUGUGCUUAGUUAUUUGCCUUGUCCUACUGAAGUUAGUAACUUUGCUCUUGACCAAUCUAAGAAUGAAGAUAAGGUCUUGUUGGCUGGAAAUCCAGAUGGACGACUUGUGGCAUUGGCUUUUAAAUUAGAGGAAGGGCGUUUUGGUCAAUUGACAUUUCUAAGAAUCUAUGAGGGUGUCAUUCGCAAGGGUGAUUUUAUAGUGAACAUAAACACAGGCAAGAAGAUUAAGGUUCCUCGCUUGGUUCGGAUGCAUUCUAAUGAAAUGGAGGACAUUCAAGAGGCACAUGCUGGGCAAAUUGUUGCUGUAUUUGGAGUGGAUUGUGCUUCAGGAGAUACUUUUACAGAUGGAUCUAUUAGAUACACUAUGACAUCCAUGAAUGUUCCUGAGCCAGUUAUGUCAUUAGCUGUUCAACCUGUUUCAAAAGACUCUGGAGGACAAUUUUCGAAAGCUUUGAAUCGUUUUCAGAAAGAGGAUCCUACUUUCCGUGUUGGUUUGGAUCCUGAGAGUGGGCAGACAAUUAUUUCUGGGAUGGGAGAGUUGCAUCUGGACAUAUAUGUGGAGCGCAUUCGGAGAGAGUACAAGGUUGAUGCAACUGUUGGGAAACCUCGUGUUAACUUUAGAGAAACAGUUACUCAGCGUGCAGAAUUUGAUUAUUUACAUAAGAAGCAAACUGGAGGACAAGGCCAAUAUGGAAGAGUAAUUGGGUUUAUUGAGCCACUUCCAGCAGACUCGCCCACCAAAUUCCUGUUCGAGAACAUGAUGGUUGGACAAGCUAUACCAUCAGGUUUUAUUCCUGCAAUUGAAAAGGGCUUUAAAGAAGCUGCCAAUUCAGGCUCUUUAAUUGGGCAUCCAGUCGAAAAUGUUCGUAUUGUUUUAACAGAUGGUGCUUCCCCCAUGCCGUGGAUUCUAGUGAACUCGCAUUUAAAUUAGCAUCAAUAUAUGCUUUUAGACAGUGCUAUACAGCUGCAAAGCCCGUUAUACUGGAGCCUAUAAUGCUGGUGGAACUGAAAGUACCAACAGAAUUUCAGGGUACUGUAGCUGGUGAUAUUAACAAGAGGAAAGGUGUGAUAGUUGGAAAUGACCAGGAUGGUGAUGACUCUGUUAUAACUGCCCAUGUUCCCCUAAACAAUAUGUUUGGGUACUCGACAUCCCUUCGUUCCAUGACACAGGGUAAAGGUGAAUUCACAAUGGAAUACAAAGAGCAUUCGCCUGUCUCACAAGAUGUGCAGAUGCAAUUGGUGAACACCUACAAGGCCACCAAGGCUGCUGAAUAGAUGGGAAUUUUGUUAAAGCUGAUGCCCCCUACACAAGUCAAAUUUUUUCACUGAAAGAUGCUAUAAUUUUUUCAUACAUAUAUAAUCUUUGCGUGAUAAAAACGUGAGAAAUAUUUAUUUUUUAUUCUGUAGCCAGUGGGUCAAUAGCAAGGAUGAGAUUCCAAUAGAGAUGGGAUUAAAGGAUAUUUUUUAAAUGCAAAUGUCACCUUGUAAUUGUAAUAAUUAUUACA
rnacentral:misc_RNA from 1 species